GGACCGCCGGGUCCUAGGGAAGCACGGCGGGUGGCAGUCCCCGCUCGCUUCCUGUCCUGAGGGCGGGGGCGGAAUGGGAGGCUCCAGCUGUGUGUUUAGGCAGAUAUGAGUGGAGCACCUGUUAUGAUGAGCCCAGCAGCACAAGGGUAACCAGAAGAGUUCCCAUCCAGAAGUUACUGGUAAGUGUGAACUUUGAGACCACAAGCUAUCUACUAAAGAGCAGAAUCCACUGUGUUCAUUUAUUAAAAAAUUCGGAUAUUCUCCUGAUAUUUUGUUGAUCUCUGUGUCUGUUCUAGUAUGCAGUAGGAUUAGCCUGUAUUUUUAAUU
rnacentral:lncRNA from 1 species